GGAAUUUUGCGCAAUGGGCGAAAGCCUGACGCAGCAACGCCGCGUGCGGGAUGACGGCCUUCGGGUUGUAAACCGCUUUCAGUGGGAAAGAUAAUGACGGUACCCACACAAGAAGCUCCGGCUAAAUACGUGCCAGCAGCCGCGGUAAUACGUAUGGAGCAAGCGUUAUCCGGAUUUACUGGGUGUAAAGGGCGCGUAGGCGGGGAUACAAGUCAGAUGUGAAAUCUAUGGGCUUAACCCAUAAACUGCAUUUGAAACUGUAUCUCUUGAGUGUCGGAGAGGUAGACGGAAUUCCCGGUGUAGCGGUGGAAUGCGUAGAUAUCGGGAGGAACACCAGUGGCGAAGGCGGCCUACUGGGCACCAACUGACGCUGAGGCUCGAAAGUGUGGGUAGCAAACAGGAUUAGAUACCCUGGUAGUCCACACCGUAAACGAUGAUUACUAGGUGUUGGAGGAUUGACCCCUUCAGUGCCGCAGUUAACACAAUAAGUAAUCCACCUGGGGAGUACGACCGCAAGGUUGAAACUCAAAGGAAUUGACGGGGGCCCGCACAAGCAGUGGAGUAUGUGGUUUAAUUCGACGCAACGCGAAGAACCUUACCAAGUCUUGACAUCCCUUGACGAACAUAGAAAUAUGUUUUCUCUUCGGAGCAAGGAGACAGGUGGUGCAUGGUUGUCGUCAGCUCGUGUCGUGAGAUGUUGGGUUAAGUCCCGCAACGAGCGCAACCCUUACUGUCAGUUACUACGCAAGAGGACUCUGGCAGGACUGCCGUUGACAAAACGGAGGAAGGUGGGGAUGACGUCAAAUCAUCAUGCCCUUUAUGACUUGGGCUACACACGUACUACAAUGGCGUUAAACAAAGAGAAGCAAGACCGCGAGGUGGAGCAAAACUCAGAAACAACGUCCCAGUUCGGACUGCAGGCUGCAACUCGCCUGCACGAAGUCGGAAUUGCUAGUAAUCGUGGAUCAGCAUGCCACGGUGAAUACGUUCCC
rnacentral:rRNA from 1 species